rnacentral:rRNA from 1 species
UACGGGGGAUGCAAGCGUUAUCCGGAAUGAUUGGGCGUAAAGCGUCCGCAGGUGGUUUAAUAAGUCUGCUGUUAAAGCGUGUAGCUCAACUACAUACGGGCAGUGGAAACUAUUAGACUAGAGUAUGUUAGGGGUAGAGGGAAUUCCCAGUGUAGCGGUGAAAUGCGUAGAGAUUGGGAAGAACACCGGUGGCGAAAGCGCUCUGCUAGGACAAUACUGACACUGAGGGACGAAAGCUAGGGGAGCGAAUGGG